rnacentral:misc_RNA from 1 species
GAAAUGCGAUAAGUAAUGUGAAUUGCAGAAUUCAGUGAAUCAUCGAAUCUUUGAACGCACCUUGCGCUCCUUGGUAUUCCUUGGAGCAUGCCUGAUUGAGUAUCAUGAAAUCUUCAAAGUAAAUCUUUUGUUAACUCAAUUGGCUUCUACUUUGGUAUUGGAGGUCUUUGCAGCUUCACACCUGCUCCUCUUUGUUCAUUAGCUGGAUCUCAGUGUUAUGCUUGGUUCCACUCGGCGUGAUAAGUUAUCUAUCGCUGAGGACACUGUAAAAGGUGGCCAAGGUAAAUGCAGAUGAACCGCUUCUAAUAGUCCAUUGACUUGGACAAUACUUUUAUGAUCUGAUCUCAAAUCAGGUAGGACUACCCGCUGAACUUAAGC